GAGCAGGCUGGGUGUAAGACAAUGGAACGCAUGUUAUAAUGGCUAAUGGAAGGGCACAUGCACAAUUUAAAUUUACCAUGUGGGGAUACUGGCUCAAUGUGGUCAGAUCUUCUGAUUUUUCAAGAGAAGGGGUAAAUUUGGAUUUUUAUGCUAAAAAUACAAUCAUGAAAUAUCGGCAAUUGAUUUUAAAAAGCUAAAAGCACCAUGCAGGACAUUAUCAUACCUGUCAAACAACACUUGCAUAUUUCACAACUCCUGGAACUCAAUCUGUCAAAAAGAGGAACUCAUUAGUUUGUAUUCUCCAUUUCAGUAAAUGAUGCCACUGACAGCCAGGAAAUCCAAGCUAGAAAGGUGGGCAUGAGCCCUGACCCCUCCCUCUCCUUUCCUACUCCCAUCCAUUAGGUGAACUAACUAGGUAGGCUCAACCUUCUGAAAUCUUACACCUGUUCCCUAAUCUACAUUCCCUACUCUGUCUUUGCUCAGAUUUUCACAAUUUCUUUCCUAGCUAACCCAUUUCAAACCUGCUAGUGACCUAUCUCAAAUAAAAACUGAGGCAACAGCUCUGCCCCCUCAAAUUUCAUUUUAAGCCACUACCUAUAGGAUGAAAUCAAUGUGUUGUUGCAUGGCACACAUUUAGUCUCCUAUUCUGACUCCUGUCUACAUCUUCAGUCUCAUUCUGACUUUGCUUUCCUCCUAUUCUUAUUUGUUUUAAUUCUUUUUUUUAACCUUUACUCAUUUUUUGAGAGACAGAGUGUGAGCAGGGGAGGGGCAGAGAGAGAGGGAGACACAGAAUCCAAAGCAGGCUCCAGGCUCUGAGCUGUCAGCACAGAGCCUGACACAGGGCUUGAACUCAAAACCUGUGAGAUCUUGACCUGAGCCAAAGUCAGAUGCUCAACUGACUGAGCCACCCAGGUGCCUCGCUUUCCUCCUAUUCUAUGCUCAGAUACUGUAGUCCCUAUAGCUCCCCUAAGGAUCAUGCUAUUCUAUUCCUCUCUACCUUUGCUCUUGCUGUUCCUCUUACCUACAGUGAAUGCCCUUGCCUUCUUAUACCAGGUGUGUUCUGUUCUUAGAAACACAAACCCAACUCAAACUGGGUUUAAAUGAUAAGGAAGAUUUAUUGAUUUAUGUAAGUAGUAGGACAGGCUUCAGGGGUGGUCUGGUUCAGUGGCUCAGUGAUGUCACAAAGAACCCCUAUUUCGCCUUUUCCAUGUUCUAUUGGGUCCUCUUCAUUCCAAGGCUGGCAUUACAAGACAGCUGCUGACCACCCCUGAGUUACCUGCCUCCUUGUCCACAUCUGAGAAACAAAUGACUCAUUUCUUAAGGUUUGAGGAUGGCAACAACUUAAAGUUUUCAAAGUCAACAGCAAAUUAACUGGCAUAGAAACCAAAGCUGAGUUCAGACAGACAACCAGAUUUGCUUUGUCCUUGGAUUGUCAGUUCAAAACCUGGCUAAUUCUAAUUCAGUUUACAGUAAUAGCAAGUUGUAGACCAACUUUAAUCAUACAGAGACGCCAGUUACUGUGUUGUAAGGACGCUCGAGCAGCUCUAUGGAGAGGCCUAGGUGGUGAGGAACGGAGGCCUCCUACAGCAGUGUCAUGCAUGAGCCAUCUUGGAAAAUGCUCCUUUGGCUCUGGCCAAGCCUUCUGAUAACGGAAGACCAGGCUGUCCUCUCGACUGCAACCUCAUGAGAGACUCUGAGCUAGAACCACCCACCUGAGCUUCUCCUGGAUUUAUGACCUGUAGAAAAAAUAAAUAUAUAUAAUGUAUUUUAAGACUGCUAAGGUUUGGGGUCAUUGUUACUCAGUAAUAGAUAGCUAAAACAACUAGGCUAGUAUUCCACUGAAAAGUCAUCUGGUAAUCUCUUUUCACUAUAUGUAAGUCUUGGACACUGGAAACAGAUUCCUUAACUUUUGGGUGUGUGUGUGUGUGUGUGUGUGUGUAGAGAGAG